UAAAAGGCCCUUUUUAGGGCCACCUACAAUUUGAUUAAAAUCCUUU
rfam:Schistosoma curassoni strain Dakar, Senegal genome assembly, scaffold: SCTD_scaffold0017189